UGGACAUCUUUUUAGUCUCUGUGGUACUGC
rnacentral:piRNA from 1 species